AACGAACGCUGGCGGCGUGGAUAAGACAUGCAAGUCGAACGGGACUAAAUCUGUAGCAAUACAGGUUUAGUUUAGUGGCGAACGGGUGCGUAACACGUGGGGAAUCUGCCGAGAAGUGGGGGAUAGCUCGCCGAAAGGCGAAUUAAUACCGCAUAUGAUCAGCUAAGACAUCUUAGCGACAUCAAAGCCGGGGCAACCUGGCGCUUCUUGAUGACCCCGCGGCCUANCAGCUAGUUGGUGAGGUAACGGCUCACCAAGGCUAUGACGGGUAGCUGGUCUGAGAGGAUGGCCAGCCACAUUGGGACUGAGAGACGGCCCAGACUCCUACGGGAGGCAGCAGUGGGGAAUCUUGCGCAAUGGCCGAAAGGCUGACGCAGCGACGCCGCGUGUGGG
rnacentral:rRNA from 1 species